rnacentral:misc_RNA from 1 species
AAAUGCGAUAAGUAAUGUGAAUUGCAGAAUUCAGUGAAUCAUCGAAUCUUUGAACGCACCUUGCGCUCCUUGGUAUUCCUUGGAGCAUGCCUGUUUGAGUAUCAUGAAAUCUUCAAAGUAAAUCUUUUGUUAACUCAAUUGGUUUCUACUUUGGUAUUGGAGGUCUUUGCAGCUUCACACCUGCUCCUCUUUGUUCAUUAGCUGGAUCUCAGUGUUAUGCUUGGUUCCACUCGGCGUGAUAAGUUAUCUAUCGCUGAGGACACUGUAAAAGGUGGCCAAGGUAAAUGCAGAUGAACCGCUUCUAAUAGUCCAUUGACUUGGACAAUACUUUUAUGAUCUGAUCUCCAAUCAGGUAGGACUACCCGCUGAACUUAAGC